rnacentral:rRNA from 1 species
CCUGGAGCUUGCUCCAGGGGAUUAGUGGCGAACGGGUGAGUAACACGUGAGUAACCUGCCCUUGACUCUGGGAUAACCUCCGGAAACGGAAGCUAAUACCGGAUACGACGUACGGAGGCAUCUCCUGUACGUGGAAAGAACCUCGGUCAAGGAUGGACUCGCGGCCUAUCAGGUAGUUGGUGAGGUAACGGCUCACCAAGCCUACGACGGGUAGCCGGCCUGAGAGGGUGACCGGCCACACUGGGACUGAGACACGGCCCAGACUCCUACGGGAGGCAGCAGUGGGGAAUAUUGCACAAUGGGCGCAAGCCUGAUGCAGCAACGCCGCGUGAGGGAUGACGGCCUUCGGGUUGUAAACCUCUUUUAGUAGGGAAGAAGCGAAAGUGACGGUACCUGCAGAAAAAGCACCGGCUAACUACGUGCCAGCAGCCGCGGUAAUACGUAGGGUGCGAGCGUUGUCCGGAAUUAUUGGGCGUAAAGAGCUCGUAGGCGGUCUGUCGCGUCUGCUGUGAAAACCCGAGGCUCAACCUCGGGCCUGCAGUGGGUACGGGCAGACUAGAGUGCGGUAGGGGAGAAUGGAAUUCCUGGUGUAGCGGUGGAAUGCGCAGAUAUCAGGAGGAACACCGAUGGCGAAGGCAGUUCUCUGGGCCGUAACUGACGCUGAGGAGCGAAAGCGUGGGGAGCGAACAGGAUUAGAUACCCUGGUAGUCCACGCCGUAAACGUUGGGCGCUAGAUGUGGGGACCAUUC